UACGGAGGGGGCUAGCGUUGUUCGGAAUUACUGGGCGUAAAGCGCGCGUAGGCGGCUUUGUAAGUUAGAGGUGAAAGCCCGGGGCUCAACCCGGAAUUGCCUUUAAGACUGCAUCGCUUGAAUCCGGGAGAGGUGAGUGGAAUUCCGAGUGUAGAGGUGAAAUUCGUAGAUAUUCGGAAGAACACCAGUGGCGAAGGCGGCUCACUGGACCGGCAUUGACGCUGGAGGUGACGAAAGCGUGGGGAGCAAACAGG
rnacentral:rRNA from 1 species